GGAGAGAUGGGUGAGUGGCCGAAACCACACCCUUGCUAAGGGUGCGUAGCCCAAAAGGCUACCGAGAGUUCGAAUCUCUCUCUCUCCGCCA
rnacentral:tRNA from 1 species